CUUACUAGUUAUGAGACUUUUGCCCAGGCCUUUGAACUCAGCCCAAGGUUCAUGAAGCCUGAUAAUAACACGGGAGAAUUAUUCACUCAGAACGAAAGCUCCAGAAUGCAUUCAGAGCAGUUGGAAGCAGAUACAAUUACAUCACGUGAAGUUCUUUUAUGACUGCUGGAGUUGCUCUGAGGAAAACUUAGAACCAUCUCAGCUUCCAGAACCACUCUCCAUAACCCAGGAGAAUAGCCUCACACAGCCUCAAGACUCUGUGACCUCCACUCAAGUCUGCCCUUUUUACCUAUUCCAGCAGGUUUAGGCAUCACUUCUCUCUGUCAUUG